GCGGACGUAGCCCAACCUGGCAGAGGCAGCGGUCUUAGACGCCGCCCAGUGAGAGUUCGAAUCUCUCGGUCCGCA
rnacentral:tRNA from 1 species